GGAACCAAGAGUGGUAAAGGCUACCAGCAGAAGUGUGAAGAGGGAAGACUAAACUCACUGUGCUGCCUCUGGAGUUGGUUGAAUAACAAAGGAGGAAAAGUCCUACAGAUUUCAACAUGGCCUCACAGAGAGACUUCAGCAACCUGAACAGAAUGCGUAAGCACCCACUGGGGGCUCAUGGCCUGGAAUCCCAGUGCAUGUGCGAAUACCACAACAUUCAGGGUAGGUUCUCUUCAACGUUAAGUUAAUACUCUUUGGAAAGUCCUUUUAUUAAUAUUGUCAUCAUUAUCAUCAUUUAAGCUUGUCUAUAGAUAAUUUUGCACAUGUGCACAAUGUUUGCCAGUCACUCUCAC
rnacentral:lncRNA from 1 species